ACCACACCCAACCCUGCUUGCUCUCCCAAGGUUCCUGGAACGGGAGGUGAGGGGUCGACGCCACCAACUACCACGACAUGAACGCCCUCCACCAGAGACGAUGGGUGACUGUGGAGGAGCUGUCGCUGCUGGUGCUGACGAAGAUGCGCCGGAGGGAGCACUAGGUGGUGAGGUCCGUUUCCUCAUCUACAUGUUCAACAAUAAGGAUUCAAAGUCUCCACAUUGUCAACUCAACAUAGAUGAGCCCUUACGGCACCAACCGAGGAACAUGCUAUCAUAGUCUAUUGCAUUUUAUAUGCUCAUACAUUAGCAGGAAAUUGUUUUUCAUGCCUCCUGUUGUGUUCUACCACCCUUCACAGUACGGAGCAUCAAGAAUUCUGAAUGCCCAAGUGAGCUUGUGCCUGUUAAUGGGAGGUCUAACGUGAAUGUAAAUCUUGUCUAUAAGGAAGAAAACUGUUCUAAAAUAUCUUCAGUGAGUCAGUCAAGCGCCCUGCUUCAUUUUAAGGACGGGGCAGAAGUGCAGAACUCACAGCACCUUCUGAAAACUCUGCUCCUUUUGAUAUUGCUUAUUCAGCUACUGCUUCUAGUACAACGACUACCACCAUCAAGGAGACAGUUUACUUGUUUGUUGCUUAACUAUGUAGUUAAAAUAAAUAAGCAACUUGUAGAGUUUAAUCUAGUAUUGAUGAUUGCUACGGUUUGCCUUUAAAAACUCUACUCCAUUUUACUAAUUUCGCACAUCUCACAAAUACCCAUCUACAGACUGUAGAGUAUAAUCCAGUACUGAUGAUUGCUAUGAUUUGUCUUUGAACAAUGCUAUUUUUUGAGCUAUUGCCACUUUGAGUUACUGUACGCUUGUAGUUUGGAGAUAUCUCCAGUUCUCUGACACAUAGUUCUACUCUUCUGUGAUCGAGAGGUUUGAGAAGGAAGCUUCUGAGAAUAACAAGAGGUCUUUCAAGUAUGCCUGGGAGCUUGGUAAGCUUAAGGCUGAGCGUGAAGCAGACCUGUGAGCAUGCUCUCUUUGCUUUCACCUUUGGAGUGAAGCAGGUGAUCUGCUGCUGCAAAAAGGAAGGACCAGAAACAGAAGCAGGCCUCCUUGGAUGUACAUCGAACUACUGUGCUACCCCUCCUUCCAGACCAAGGCAACGCACAUGGUGUAUGUCGCUGGCCUUCACUGAGGAGAAGAUUGACGAAUCCACCGCAGAUCUCCUCUGCCCGCUCGUGUGAAGGUAUCCACCACCCCCUUCUCCAAAUCCCCAUAUCCCUCUUUAGCUAUGACCCACUUACCGUUCUCGCUAGUGAUUCCCUGGCUUUGUACUCCCUGUCUUUGAAUGUUUUGUGCUAGAACGAAACAUGAUAAUUAGUUUUGCCAUUGUUAUGUUUCUGUAUAUUUCAAUUAUUCAACCAGUUCACUGUUUGAUUUUUCCAUAGAAUUUUAUAUAGUUAAAACAAGUAGUAGUUUCGUUUGGCCAAGCAAGAUAAUAUGAGCACUCUGAUAUUCAACUACUGCUAGAAAGCAUUCUGAUUACUAUAAUGAAAACAACUCGAUUUGAAAUAUUGAUAUAUUCUGUGAUACAUGAUCAUUAUGUUAGCAUUUUAUUACCUAAACUCCUAGCUAUUGUAAGUUCCUACUACUUAGAGCUGGUGCUUCUCACACACGUAUAGUGGACACACACUGAACUCAAAGGUAGAACUGAAUGACACAAGUACUUUGGAGCAGCUCAAAGUUGCUGCGUUUUCUCUCUACUACUUGGUGUCCUGAACUGAUAAUAUGGGGCUUAUUUAUAGUUUUAUACUACUAGUGAGCUACACAAACCAGCUCACGUACUACACCUCUAGUGUGAACAAUUGACAAGUGGAAGCUGAGAAUGUCAAGCCGACUUAUCCCCUACAGGUUUCAGUUUUAUCUUCUGCAGCUUAUCACCUUGCAGCCUGCAGUUUUUGAUUUGCCUCUUGCCCACUUGCCCUACUUGCUGAUCCUAGGCGGCAUGCAAGGAUUCUGUUCACACAAAGCAAACUACCACUACUAGUAGAUGCACUUGUGGCUAAGAAAACUUACUACUACCACUCUACUAGCAACUGAUUAAACAACAGCUAUUACUUGGCAACUAAUUCUCUAACCUAUGAAUGAAUUAAAUGGUGCAAUGGAUAUCUUGCAUUCUGCUUGUGAAACUAUUAACUAUUUUGUAUUUUGCAUGGAAAAUAACAGUUUACUUGUGAAAAAAAGAAUGCAGCAACCAUCUUAAUUCACGUAAAAUAUUUAUGAUGAUGUUCACUAUGUCUUUCUAUUGCUUGUAGCCAAUGGUUCUCCAUUCUGGUUAAUCUGUCUUAUAUUAAUGUUGUCUUACAGGGAGGUAGAGAUAUGCAUCUAUGAGGUUGCCACGAUGUAUGUCCAAAAUUAUUUCGCAUAAUACAUUUGUAUUGCAAGUUCCAGCUUACGUUUUAUCACCUGAAAGCGUAUGUACUAAUAUGUGCUGAUCGCAUGAUAUGGUAGUUACCAGUUAAUGGCUAUGGAUUUUCCAACACUGUAGUUAGUCUAGGAGUCAGUCAUGUUCAUAUGAUCAUUGGCCUCUUUAUUUUACUUUUACAAGCAGUAGUGUAUGCACUUUGUUACACGUUAGUGAUGCUAUAUACUUGCAUGAUAUGGUAGUUACCAGUUAAUGCUUAUAUGCUUAUAUUCUUGUGCUUAGCGAGUGGAGUGUUGUCCUGUCAAGUAGUAACUUUUUCUUUGUGCAUGAAGAACUGACUGAUUUUGAUACUGGAAAGUAAAUUAACUAGCCUGAUUCUCAGUCUGACAAACCUCCUUAAAUAAGACUUGACAUCUUUAUCUGUCAAGUAGUACCAUUUAUGUAAUGUGUAACCUGUGGCCUGAGAUGUUAUGUCAUCUAGUUCCCUUUUACCCGAAUUCCUUGCUAUAUUGCCAUACCCCACAUGU